rnacentral:tRNA from 1 species
GUGGCUAGAUCUGGUGUUGGUUUCCAGAAGCUCAUUGUGAAUGAGUUUGUCGCCGGUUCGAUUCCGGUUAGUCACC